rnacentral:lncRNA from 1 species
AAAAAAUGGCGGUUAAUGGAAAUGUCAGUUUUAGAGGAGAAGGUCUCAAUAACCUUGUAUUAACGUGCUCUGGGGUUAGUAUUUGUCACAGAAAUUUCCACAUUUUCUUAAUACAUUCCAUGUAUAUUGAAAAGUGUUUUUUUUGUCAAGGAAUGUGCAUAUAUGAGUGUACAUCACCAAGUUUAGUAGCGGAUCUCAUGUUUACACGUUAACAGGUUAACCAGAACCAGAUGUACACAUGUAUUACGCAGAUAUUCUAUACUAGUGGCAGCAGUAGCCACCAUUAGAGGGAUUCCUCAAACAAUGACUUGGUGACCAUAGAAUUUGAGAUCUAACCAAACUGUUAUUAUUUUAUUUUAUUUGCAAGCUGUAGACAGAAAAAAUAUGUAUUAAAAAGGGGGGCAAUAAAUUUCCCCUAGGGCAAGGGUUGAUGUGGUUAAUUUUUACCACAUAAUUUUCUCUGAGUACCAAGGAACAUGUGCACCUGGAAAUAUGUUCAGGUAUGGAAGAAAAUAUGUUCAUGCAAUUGAAAUUUAUUUCAUGAAACAGAAAGUUUUAUGACUUUCUUGGAAAUUGAUAUUUGUCAUUUGAUAUAUACAAGAUUAAGUACCAUGACAUACCCUGAAAAAGAUUUAUUUAUUUGAAUAUUGGCCUUUGUCUCAUUGCUGGAUCUAAAAUUAUCAAUUACUGCAGAUUGGUAUAUUAACCUUUUUCUUAGAACUCUAUCUGUUGGAGAUUAUACAUUGUAAAUGGAGGUCACUAGAUAUGUUAGUUUUACUUUUAGAGGAGAAGGCUUCAGUAACCUUGUAUUAUUAAUGUGUUCUGGGGUUAGUAUCUAUCACUUUAGCCUAUACUGCUUUCAUUCCUUACACAGUUUAUAUUGAAAAUCUGUAUUUUGUCCAAGAAUUUGCACAUUUAAGUAUACAUCAAGCAUUUGGUAGCUGACCUCGUGUCCAUGUUUAACCAGAACCAGAGAUAUUUUUACAGAGUUAGUAGUCACCAUUAAAGAAAUAAUGUUUUUGUUUAAAAGACAUGACAUCCUGAUUUUUUUUUAAUUGAAGUGGAUGUUUAUGUCAUUGUCUACACCCCUGAGUAUGCCACUCUUUUAUAUGGUCCCUUACAAUUUCUGUUAACAGCUUUGCUGGUUCUUCUGUGAAAGGAAUCUGGUAAUAUCAGGCUGAGGUAGGAGGUUCUUUUGUGAUGUUUGAUAAGAAGCUGGCUUAUAUAGUUUGUCUAGGCUGCAAUUAUGAAAAAGUGUUGACUAUAAAAAAAAGAUGUGGUUGACUGCAUGUUUUUCGUUUCUAUUUGUAUGUGUAUACAUAAUAGAUAUUCUGUUGGUAUGUGUAUACAUAAUAGAUAUUCUGUUGGUAUGUGUAUACACAAUAGAUAUUCUGUUGGUAUGUGUAUACACAAUAGAUAUUCUGUUGGUAUGUGUAUACACAAUAGAUAUUCUGUUGGUAUGUGUAUACAUAAUAGAUAUUCUGUUGGUAUAUGUAUACAUAAUAGAUAUUCUGUUGGUAUGUGUAUACAUAAUAGAUAUUCUGUUGGUAUGUUGCAGUUUGUAAAUCAUGUUCCUCAUAUACAGUAAAGGCUUGAAAGAGAAAUAAUAUUUCAAUGUCAUGAAUGUCUGACUUGUAGCACGUUUACUUUUCAUAAUGAUGUUGUCACCCAUAAAUUCAUUGACAAAGUCAGAUUUCCAAUCAAAUGCUGAUUCAAAAGUUGAACCGAAAUCAACGUUGUUGGUUUGAUCUGUACACACAAGUCGCGACCUCUCACUAUUCUAAAUGACUAAUGGAAUGUCAGCACCCAGAUCUGCAUUUGAUGGGGCAAUCAAAGAAAUCCUGCAUCCAGAAAUCAUAACUCAAUAGUCGUUGAUUUUGUUUUGUACAAUGACUUCUCUAUCCAGUGAAUGGCUUAAUGAACAUUGUAGCUAAGUGUUUCGUUGGGAAGUCCAGAUUCAAUUAUAUUGACUUGUGCUGCUGAAACAAACAUAUUAUAUUCAUGGGAAUAUCACAAUUUGUUGUUGUUUUUUUCUCUGGAAAUCAGCCUUCUCUUGAGAUGAAGUUGAAUUGUUUCCCAUAUUUCGUGUCAGGGCUUUUUAUAGUUGACUAUAUAUCUAGUAUGUAACUUUGUUUUUCUCUCAUUGUUGAAGGCUGUGCAGUUACCUACAAUUGCUAACAACGGCUUCAAUUAAACCUGGGUUGAUGGUUAUCUCACUGGCAAUCCUACCACAUCUCCUUAUUUUUAUAAUGAGAUUCCCUCUUACCCCUGUACCCCCUCUAUUGUACACACAUUCAUUGGAUAAGUUUUAUAUUAUUUUAUAGGACAGAUAAUUUGACAGAACUUUCCAUCUAUACAUUUAGUCAAUGAUUUCUGCAAAGAGGUGCCUAUAAGACAAUUUAACAGUAGUUAAAAUAAUUCCCUGUCAUUGUCCAUGGAUUGUUAAUAUAUAUACAUAAACAUAUUUGAGCACAAUAUUGAUAAGUCUUUUGUACCAUUUGAAAAGUACUUAAAUAAAACUAUCUUUGAACAAAGUUAAGGAAAGAUAUGAUUGUUUCCUUAAACAAUUAUUAGUAAUUUUUUUAGGACAUGAAUUUGAAUGUCGAAAUUUUUUGUGUUAUAUAUUUCUCCCAUAAAACAGCAUAUUUUCACUUUUGUAGGAUAAAAAAGUGUACAGAUUGAUGAAAAAAAAUACAAUAGUUUCACAUCAAGAUCACAACAAUCAUUCUGAUAAGGUAAGUUGUAAUUGUAUUACAUCAACAACAUGGCAAUAUUAUUCUGAAUGUUAGUGGUGUUUUUUAUAGAAUAACAGACUGAAUGUAGUUAACACCAAAUCAAAACAAUCAGGUGUAGUCUUUUAAUAUCAACACAUCAACUAUCUGGCAAUUGGCAUGUGCUGCCCUCCAGGCUCCAUGUGUGGUCACCAUUGCAAUUUCUAGGCAAAAUCAUUUGCGCCAAAAAGAUUAUCUUUAACUAAACUUAUAUCCUAUUUAUUCUAUUAUUGUAUUCAUUAAUCAGGCCGUUAUUUUCAUUUGAAUUGAUUUACAUUUAUAAAAUCCGGCCCUUGCAUUACUGACUAUGUGGUAUGGGUUUUACUCCUUGUUGAAGGCAAUGGUAACCUAUAGAUGUUAAUUUCUGUGUCAUUUGGUUCUUUGUAGAGAGUUAUCUUUUUGGCAAUCAUAUCACAUAGGUUGAUAAAGCGAUAUGGUUGAAUGAUAAACUUUCAGUUAGAGGUCAAAGGUCAAGGUCAUAGUCAAAGCAUCUUUUGAUUAACUGAAAGUUAGUUUCUGGAUGUUAUCUAAUAAAUCAUGCUCAUAAACUUGAAUCGAUAAUGCCCAUAUGACAGGGAUCUUGCAUUGAUUGAUUGUUGGGUAAAUUAAUCCCUAUUGAUAGUUUGGUCAAUAAACUUGGAUCUAUCAUGCCCAUAAGGUGAGGAGGAUUCCUAUUGAUUGUUAGGGUAAUAAACUUGGAUUGAACAUUGCCUAUAUGGUGAGGAAGAUCUCUAUUGGUUGUUAGGGCAAUAAACUUGGAUUGAUCUUGCCCAUAUGGUGAGGAAGAUCUCUAUUGGUUGUUAGAACAAUAAACUUUGAUUAAUCAUACCCCCAUGGUGAGAAUCAGAGGAAGAUCUCGAAUUGAUUGUGAGGGCAAUAAACUUGGAUCGAUCUUGUCCAUAUGGUAAAGAAGAUCUCUAUUGUUUGUUAGAACAAUAAACUUUGAUUAAUCAUAUCCCUAUAGUGAGGAAGAUCUCUAUUGAUUGUUAGGGCAAUAAACUUGGAUAGAUCUUGCCCAUAUGGUGAGGAAGAUCCCUGUUGAUUGUUCAAUGGAUCAAUAAAAUUGGAUCGCCUUUGCCAAUAGGUCAAUAGUCAAGGUCUGCAGUAUUGAUGUUGUCAUCUUAAAAAAAAGUGCCAGAUGUCAGAGCAAUCUGGGACUUUGUAUAAUCCAGUAUGUGUACUGUUAAGUCGUUGUUUAUACAAGGUAUAACUGAUAAUGGUUUAUACACAGUUCAAUAAGCUGUCGCUAUACACCCGGUAAAAUCUAUCCAUUUGGCAUACUUCAGCUACUUUUAAAUUUAAGUCUUCUGUUACAAAAGGUAGGGAACAUAAAAUACAAAAUGAGUAUAGUAAUAAAGGUCCAUCCAUUAAAAUUAGUUAGGUUUUAUAUGGUCAGUCACAUUAUUUUAGCCUAAAUAUAUACAUGUAUGACAUUUUCAAACUGACCUGUUUUGUGACCAUGUCAUUGACCUAAAAGGUAUUUAAUCAAGUUUUGGAGGUAUAUUUUGUUCUGUCAUUUUUAUCUGCAGGGCUGAAGUAACAUUUGUAUGUUUAUUCAGUACCAGAUAAAAAUUUGAAUAGACAAGUUAGUGUGAAAGUACUGGUACACUUGUAAGUUGUAAGUUGUCUGAAAGGAUAAACUGUUGACCCUGUUUCACCAGUGUAUACAUGUUUCAAAUGAUUCCAAUAUUUAAAAGCCUAAAUUUAAUAAUUCAUCAAGUUCAGGUUGUGAGUGUGAAUCCUGUAUGUGGUAUGUGGGCUCGACUCCAAUCUCAAUUAACUAUGAUUGUCAGUUUUCCUACCAAAAGUAGAUGGUUACUCUGGGCCCUUCCUGUUCCACCAAAAAAACGGGCCAGACUGCAUCGAAAUAGGACAAACUUAUAUAUAUAUAGUGCUGAAAGAGGCAUUGAAAACCUGUCAAUCAAACUGAAUUGAGUUAUAUUACAAUUCCACUCACAGUUAAGUUUUUGCCCCUACUAGCCUCAUUGAACAAGUGCAAACAAGUGAUUGAAGAGGCCUGAACAACCUUGUUGUAUCUAUCCAGUACGAUGAACUACAGAUAAUAGAAUAACAAAGGAUAUGGGGUAGCCUAUUUAUAUAAGGAGCUUUAUCACUACAGUUAACCAAUCAAAUUUUAAAUCAGUUUGACAAAAAAUAGAUAUUUUCACUGAUGAAAUUUGAUGUUACUUUGACCUUGAUAAAUUUAACCUUUUACAUGUAGGUUCAUCUCUCAGUGUUUACAGAGUCUAAAGUAAGCUACUGCAAUUACCAAACCCUGUCAGCAGCAUUGUAUAUGCCCUACCUACGAUAGUAAAGGGGCAUUAUGUUUUCUGGUCUGUGCGUCUGUUUGUCUGACUGUCCCGCUUCGAGUUAAAGUUUUUGGACAAGGUAGUUUUUGAUGAAUUUGAAAUCCAAUGAUCAACUUGAAAUUUAUUACACAUGGGCCUUUUGCUGUAUCUGCUCUUUGGUUGGGUUUGUCUCUUUUACACAUUCCCCAUUUCCAUUCUCAAUUUUAUUUAAGUGUUUCAAAAAGUAUCAAAAAUGUUUCAUCAGAUCACAAAUGAACCUGAAAUUUGAGGCCAAAAUCAUCCCUUACUGGACCUACACCUUAACUCAAAGUGAUAUUUUCACAAUUUUAUAUUAAUCACACAAGUUGGUGAAAAAUACACCCUCUCAUUUUCAGUAGAAAUUUUGCAGAUUUGUGGGUAUCUGUUUGGCUGAUUUUCUGACAAUUACUCAAAAAUGCUUUCAGCAGUUUCAUGAAACUUUGGUGAAUAGUUUAUAUCUAUUGAUUUAAGCUCCCUUUCAAUUCGUAUAAAUUUUAGAUUUUACAUUUCAGAGUCAUGUGGUUGUGUUCAUAGAAAAGGGGUAUUAUUCAGUUUCGGUCAAUGCUUUAGAGCAGAUAUCAUGACAAGUGAAAUAAACAAUUCAUUUCCCCAUAGGCAACAAUGAUAGCCUUUUUGGAGAUACCGACUUUAGAAAGUUUUUUUUUAACGAAUCUUGCUAGAAUUAAAUAAAAGUUAUUAGAACAGUAUGUUUUGGUAAAAAAAAUAUAGGUUUGCAUUGCUUUGCUUAGCGUAAAUUGAACUUAUCUCCAAUGCAUAUUAAUUUGGCACUUAAAAAAAGUGUCUCGUCCUAGUGUUUAAAAGACAUCUCAGUUCCGUUAGUGCUGAGGAAAAUAAUUUAAAUGGCCUUUGGUAUAAUGCAGAAUGCACAAGGUCUCUAAUAUAAAAGAAUAGCAGGUGCACAUAUCAACCAAUCAGGAUUAGCCAUACUCUUAAUUCUGAAUACAUUUGUACAUGUACCAUGUUAUGUUCAUAAAAUGGCUGCGCUCAUAAAAUUUAAUGGUUUAUGGUAACCUGAAACUUUGGUGACUGGUUUAUAUCUAUUAAGAUAACUUCCCUUUAAUUUUUCAUGAAUUUCUGAUGUAACAUUGAGAAGUUAUUGAACUUUAUUCAUUGAAAGCAAAGGGCAUAUCAUGCGCUCAUGGCGCUGCUGUUUAUUUUUACAGUCAAUGCUUUUGAAUGGGGACAAAUGGUUGGAUCCCCCUCCUCAAACCCCCUCCUCCCCCUUUUAUCCUUGGUAAGAAACCCUUUUUAAAAAGGCUGGAUCAACCGCAAAAUUCCUUAUUGCCUUAUUAAUUUGUAGUUUGAUUAUGACACAUGUAUGACUAAUCAAAGGAGACAUUGCCUGGUACUCAUAUGUAACAUAUUUCAUAAAAAUUAAACUUGUCUUUCUGCUGGUUUCAGUUUCUUAAGUUUCAUGUGGUACUGAAGGUAGAUAUUUUUAUUUUAGGAAAGGACAGAGAAGAUCAAACAGAUCCUAGAGAACCAAGUAGAGUAUGUCGAACAUGUGAUUAGACCACAGAUUCUUAAACAGUUUAUAGCUGUACAUGUAUGUAUAUAAUAUACACAUUUCAUUUCUAGGCUUCUUAUAUAAAAUUGAUUGAUUUUUAUUAUUAUUAUGGCUGCUAAAUUGCUAAUAUAAUGACCAAUGAUACUUUUAAGCCAGCUUGCUCUUAAUUUAAACCAAUAUGACUGUUUUGAAUGUUUUCAGAUGGCUAAGUUAAAUUUCACAAUCUAUAUAGAUAUAUCUGGAUAAUUUUAAUAUGAAAUCAAUAAUAUAAAGAAUGAUCCUACAAUAAUUUCAUUUUUUAUAGAAAAUUGUUACCCUCCCCGAUGGUUUUGCAGAAACUAUAGAGUCGGACAUAGCAGAUGGGAGACCAGGUAUGUGCACCAUUUUGUUUGGGGAAUUAUGGGAUAAUGUCAUUUUUAAAAGUAUCAUUUCAAGGUCUCUUCUAGUUUACUUAAGAAAGAAGAUAUUUACAAGUAUUCAUGUUACAUAACUAUUAUAACAGCACAUCCCAGACAUAUACAAUUUACUUCUGAAGAUUCUAACCACAAAACAUAUGUUCUGAUAGAGAUAAGAUGAUUAGUGCAUGUUAAGUUUAGUUUAGAUAUACAGUAAAUAUGCAGCUCAGACUGAUACUGAUCUUAAUGUUAAAUAUAAAGCACUUAUUGUAGCUCUAUCAAAUAUGCUUCAAAUAGAAAUAUUCUGAUAAUUAUAUCAAUUUAGAUAGACUUGUAUAAAUAGUAUAAAGCCAACAUUUAUAUUUUCAAGUUGAUCACUUCAAACCGUUGUUUAUUUUAAAGAAAAAGUAUACAUAUAUAUACAAAAACAUAUACAUGUAGUAUUGUAUAUUUACCAGUGUUUAGGUCUCAGAGUUUAAACAGUAACCAUAACUGCCAUAAAACCAUAGACCCUGCCACCAAAUGUGCUGUCAUGUUACCAGAUCUAUGUUUUGUUACUGAUGUAGAAAGUAACCAGUGCCUGUCUGAUGACUGUCCUGACAGACCUACCAUUAGUGUUGAAAUCAAGGUUAGUACAUUGCAUUUCUAGAAAAAAUAACACAUUUCUAAAAAAACACAAACUUUUUUGAGGUUCAUAUAAUGCUUUGAUGUCAUCUGCAUCGGCGUUGUCAUCGUCAGAAGACACAAUUGGUUUCCGGCAGUGACUUUAGUUUAAGUGAAUGGGUCUUUUAUGAAUUUUACAGUAAGGUUCAGUACCACAAAAGGAAGAUUGGGGUUGAUUUAGGGGGUUAAGGUACCAACAGUGUUCGAAUUAGGGGCAAAAAUAAGCAUUUUUGUAGUCACAGUAAACCUAUUCAAGAAAUCUAUCCUAGUGCUUUCCCUGUCUAUAGAGAACAACUUGUUUAUGUGUGACAAUGAUCUUUAGCAUUAGUAUUGAUGUUAAAACAGAUAUAUUAGGCAUAAAAAAACAUAAUUUGAUAAAUCAAAUAUAGUUUGAAUAUGAGGAAUGUGCUCAACUAUGACUUUGAACAAAAAAUACUUGUAAACUAUAAUUGUAAAUUAUUUAUAUUCUGAUAUUUCAGCCAAAGAAAGGGUUCAUGCCAGAGACGGGCAGCCUUCCUGAAGAAAGUGCAAUAAAAUACAGUGUAUGUAAAUUCUGUAUACAUCAAAGACUGAAGGUAAGUUUUUAAAUCAUGGGGAUUACUGCAUGCAUGCAGUGCAAGCAAAGAUUUCCUUACAACCAAAUUUUUAAAUAAAGAUAUUAGUAUAAACAAUUACAAAUAUGGACCAAUUCCAGUACACCUUCUAGGGUGUGCUCAGCUAUAGUGACUCAACAUCAUGUUUUGACAAUUUUAAAAACAAUUAACCCAAGAGAUAGCACAACAAGGACAAACAUGUGAGUCCUGUAUGUUUAAAAUGUUAUAAUCAAAAGAUUAGUAAUAGUCUGUGGAUUUUCUGUAAAAAUCUUGCCUUGAAUUUUCACCACAUUUUCCAUUAAAUGCAAGGAAGCAAUAAAUAUACUGUAUGUGAACACAGUUUCUCUUUGGUAUAUAUAUGUACAAUAUGGCAUAUCUCUUUUAUUCUAUAAUUUUUCUGUUAAUGGUAUUUUUGCCCUUUGAAGGCUUCAUAAUACACUGGCCUAUAGAAGGGCCAUCAACCUUCAAAAUGGUCUUCUAACAUUUCUAAAAUAAGAAGAUAAAAAAGAACAUUAGUUAACAGCAAGAACAUAUGGUCCUUCUUAAACUUUUCUCUUGUAAUUCCAGUAGUCUGUAGCAGUCUGCUAGAAAUACAUUUCAAGUACUGCAUUUUAUGUUUGUAUGAUUAUGUGCUUUGCAUAAAUAAACCAGUAUGUUCCCUUCACAUAAGAGAUAAAACUAUCUGCAUAAGACAUGUAUAUGAAUCAUGUAGAAGUACAGGUCUUUGGUUGUUUCAUGUUAACCACAUACAAAAGUUGUUUUAUAGAUAGAACAUCAAUUAAGUAUUGUUGAGAGAACAAGGAAAAAAUAAUGAAACAUCAAAUUUCUUAUCAAUAUAUUCUAAAAGAAGUAAAAAAAAUAAUGUAAGAAUUCCUGGUCACAUGUGAUUUUAUUGUUUUUCUUUCCACAAACAACAUUGUUGUUUUAAAAGAUGCUGUGUCAUCAUUUAAAACAGUUUAACAUAUAGUCAAUGAUUUAUAUGCGUUAAACAUAUAUUUAAGGAAUGACUGUCAUAUUUUUUCUGUCUAUGAUAUUUCCUAUAAGUAUCUGUAAAUGCAUAUUAGAUAUAUACCAGCAAUCGGUGAUUCUUUCCUGAAAAAUUGGGAUUUUGGAUACUUGACCGGAAUAUGACUUUUUUUCUAAUACAAUUGACAUGUUUGGUGUUUUUAUUAUAAUUUUUGAUAAUAGAACAGUAUAUGAUUGUUUCUUCUAAUACAAUUGAAAAUUUCUGAAUGUUUUAUUUUAUAAUUAAUACAAUUUCCUGCUUUCAUUGUUUAUAACUGUAAAUUAGUGUCAAAUAAGUUAUAAAUAUCUUCUCAUUAAUUACUAGAAUUAAUUUGUCACAGGGUCAUUGAUCUUCCAAGCAUAAAAACUUCCUCAGGGAUAAUGUCAUUUUCUCACUAAAGUUGACAAAGAAGUGACCCCUGGUCAUCUGAGGUAAUUUGACCUUUGACUGAUAAUGAUCUAACACUUGGACAAUAUUACUGAUAAUUUGGACUAAUAUCAAAUCUUUGAUUAUGUCAUUUAUCUAUAAGAUCAAAGUUUUUUUUCUGACUCAAAAGAAGUUAAUGUCUGUAUUCAUAAUACAUCAAUUAAAUCUAAUAUUAUCAUUUAAAUUUGAUAAAGGAAGUAUUAAAAUACUUUUAUAUCAAUAAAACUUAAACAUUUAUUAUAAAAUAUUAUGUUGUGGCUUUCGAUUCCACCUUCAGAAUGGAAUUUCCUAAAUAAUUUAGAAAUUGUGAAAUGAGAUGCACCCAUGUGAUUUGAUAACUCCUAGAAUUUGUUGGACUGAUAUGUAUUUGAUAGUUUAUUUUUCUAUACAAAUGGUAUUAUGAUUAUUUAAAAGAGUUUUCAAUGGUGUGUCUUUAAAAAAAAUAAACCAAAAAAUAGAAACUUGUAAUGAAAAGAUUUUAUUAAAAAAUAGACCGCAAGGUGUAUACAAAUAUGGUCAUCCCUUAUUCUUCUUCUUAAAAAAUAGACUGCAAGGUGUAUACAAAUAUGGUCAUCCCUUAUUCUUCUUCUGAUCAGCAGUUAAACCCUUGUCAAAGCUAGGCAUCUGUUUGGUUAUCUAGAUGUAUAAAUUUGCAGGCAAGUCCUGUCAAAUUGGAGAAGUUAAAUUCAAUGCACUGUCUAUAGAGAGUGCCACCCUUUAGCUGUCUAUUUACCAUGCAAAGUAAAGAAAACAACAAUCAAUCUAUCAAAAUAAAAAGUACAUUAAAAGGAGCUUUCAGUGGCCCCUACACCCGUAGAAUUUUUAUGUGUUUUGAUUCGUCACAUUUUAAAAACAAAUCUGUAUUUUCAAACUGCUCAAGUUGGAAUUAAAUUUUAAAAUGUCUUCUCUUUGGAAAUUUUCUUCAGGAUUAUCUGAUAAUGUGUUUAAUACUUUGUGGGAGUGUUAUCUAUUUGCCAGGAGUAAAUUCUUGUUAUCCGCUGUUUCUUCACUUAGAUGAUUUGAUAUAAUGUCCUAAUGCUUCUAAGUCUCAAUAAUUUCUCUGCCAAUAAUAUGAAUCAAUAUCGACUAAUUGAAUGACUCUUGGAAAAUACUAUGACUCAAUUCUACAUGUCCCUGAAUUGUAAUGAAUUUUUUACACAUUGAUGGAUAUUUUAUGGAAAUGUUUUGAUUGUUAUUUCUUUAAAAAUUGAGUGAAUAUUAGUUGUCUGAAUGGUGACAGUAUAUAUUUCCUUUUGUAAUUAUUGUCAUAGAACAUGACAUUUAUCAAUCAAUGUGUUUUUUACAGUUUUAUGAUUUUCCUGAUGUAAUGUUGACAUGUUCGUUAUACAAAUUAUUUUUUACUUAUCAGCAAUCAAUCAUUCCAUAGUUUACUGCCAACUUUCAACGAUUGAUGUAUUUGCAGAUUGCAUAGGUGGACCCAGAGGAGGCCCGUGGGAGCCUGCCCCUCUUUUGUUGCAAAAUUUUUGUUGAUUAUUUAAUAUAUAGGGAAUCACUGAAGCAUGAAUGUUACUGCCCCCUGUUAAGGCAGCCAAUGGGCCCCCCUUAUAAAAAGUUCUGGACCCACUACUGAAUUGUUUCAAUUUUUUUCAAAUUUUACAUAUUUUUUUUCUUCAGCAUUUUUAAUGCAAAAUGUAGUUAGAUCGAUUGAUGUUUGCUUAAUGUUCUAAAAUCAGUUUGAAGUAAGCAUGGCUUCUAUAUAAAGUGUAUAAGCACUCACCAAUAAACAGACACACUAUCUUGACAUGGAAACAUUUAAUAUCAUCAUUUGUCAUCAGCAUGUGAUAGAAGCUAAUUCAUUGUUGUAAAGAGAACAAUAGGCUUAUGACUGUUAAGGAGCUUUAUUAUAAAGGUUAUGUUGAUGGGAGGAAGAAAAUGUAUUUGUUAUUCUGAUUGAAUUUUUUUUAUGGUUGUUUUCCAACUGAAUAAGAGGAUUUACGGCACGUUGUAUUCAUCGUGUCAGCGACGGUAUUACAUCAUAGAUCAAUAGAAACGUUCAACCCCACGUGUUAUUCAGAUUGGAGAAACCUUCAAUCCUGCAUGUUAUACAGAUUGGAGAAAUCUGAUUCCAAGGAUUUAGUCCGAGAUAUAAUUACAGGGAAUGUGUGGGUUUAGUACUGCUGUUUAUGAUAUAUAUUUAAUAGUAGACAUUGAAGUAUUUAGAAAUCAAUAACACGUUUUUGUAAUGAUGACAGUAAUUGUUUAUUAAAUACAGAAGUUUAUGGCAUGUUGUUGUAAAUAUUUAACCCAAUAACAGAAAUUCAAAAUAAUGGUUAGGUUGUUUAAUCUGUUUCCAUCCAGUAAAACAAUUUGAUACUACAAAUGUGUAUUAAAUACCAAUUUGUCAAGGGACUCACAUUUUUACAAACAUAAAACUCCAGGGACACUUACAAAGUAACUGACACACUCUGAUAUACAAUAAAGCAAGAGACACCACAAAACUUACUUGUAGUAAAACAUAAAAUUGCAAAUGGAAAUGGGGGAAUGUGUCAAAGAGACAACAACCCGGCCAAAGAGCAGAAAACAGAGGAAGAUCACCAAUGGGUCUACAACACAGCAAGAAAAACCUGUGUCCCGACAGGGCCUUAAAACAAAAAUAUGUACUAAUUCAGUGGAAAGGGACGUCAUACUAAACUCCAAAACAUAUUUAUAAUUGAACUAAAAUUAAAAAUCAUACAAGACUAACAAAGGCCAGAGGCUCCCGCUUUGGGACAGACACAAAAAUGUGGUAACCAAAGCAUAUUUUUUAAGUUAGUACUUGUUGCAUGCAUGUUUUAAAUUUAACAUGUAUGAAAAUUUUUUGUCCUGAAAUUAGUUAAGUGUUCAUCAUGGGGAAAAUGUAUUAUUUCUGUACUUUGUCCUGAUAAAGUGUAUAUAUCUAUAAAAAAAUAUUGUGUUACACUAGAUUGUGGAUAAUGCAAUCUUUCGUAAGAGAACAUUCUAGUUCUAUAUCAGCAUUUUUGUAAACAUAUUGAUUGUGUAAUUCUGGGGAUUGUCUCAAAGGUUAAAUCAAUCAACAAGAACAUAUUCCAUAUGGUCCUCUGUGUAUAUUGAACUUUAAAUUAUUAUUGAUUAUAAUAAAUAGUAUCUCAGAUAACUUAAUCAUGAAGAAAUCUGUAGAAAAAAUGAAUUUAAUAGUGUCUCCAUGUCUUAUUUUGGUAUUUCUGGCGUAAUCAUGUAUGGUUUUUUUUAUGCACCUGUCCUGAUUUACAUUUUCUGUGUACUUAGACUGUACUAAGUUGGAGCCCCUAAUUUAAUGGUGGUAAUUAGUUGAUAUCUGUCAUGUUUAAUUAUCAGUUAUUAGUUUGUCAUAUAUUUUAGGCCAUUCACAGGUUCCCUUGUUAGAUUGUUUUAUAUUUUGUCAUCCUUGGACCUUAUAUAUUAAUAUAGUACAAACAUGUCUGACUUUGGCGUAUUUUUGAAUGCCAUAGGUAGCCUAUAGUUGUUGAAAUCUUUUGUACUUUUGUGGCUAGUUCUCUCAUUGGGAAUCAUUACACAUCUCCUUGUUUAUAGAGCUAUAUGUUGGGAUUCAUUACACAUCUCCUUGUUUAUAGAGCUAUAUGUUGGGAUUCAUUACACAUCUCCUUGUUUAUAGAGCUAUAUGUUAAAAGCCAUGUUGGGAUUCAUUACACAUCUCCUUGUUUAUAGAGCAUAUGUUGGGAUUCAUUACACAUCUCUUGUUAUAGAGCUUAUAUGUUAAAAGCCAUGUGGAUUCAUUACACAUCUCUCGCUUGUUUAUAGAGCUAGUAUGUUAAAAAGCCAUGUUGGGAUCAUGUACACAUCUCUUGUUUUAGAGCUAUAUGUAAAAGCCAUGUUGGGAUCAUACACAUCUCCUUGUUUUAUAGAGCUAUAUGUUAAAAGCCAUUGUGUACUCAUUGGGAUUUAUAACACAUCUCCUUGUUUUAUAGAGCUAUAUGUUGGGAUUUAUAACACAUCUCCUUGUUUUAUAAGCUAUAUGAUAAGAUAAUAUAAGAAUUUUAUUAUCUAAUCAAGAACCCAAAGGGCAUCAUUUUACAACACAAUAUGAUUGGAAAAGCAAACAGGAAACUAAUACCAUACUAUAACAUUAUGGACACUGACAAUAUAUGUUAAAGCCAUUGCCAUUACACAUCUCCUUGUUUUAUAGAGCUAUAUGUUAAAAGCCAUUGUUCUCCUAUUGGGAAUCAUUACACAUCUCCUUGUUUUAUAUGGGGACGAAGUCCCCAAUUACGGUAGAAAAAUAAAAAAAAAAAAAAAAAAAAAAAAAAUUGGGAAAAUUUCCCGAAUUUUUCAUUCUACAAAUGAACUCAAAAUCGUUAACUCUUUUUUCAGAUCUACCUCCUGUUCCGGUUUUCUCCGCUUUUGCGCAGAUAUCUGUCUUGUUUGCAUGAGACUUUGAAAAAAUUUAUAUUUAUCAGUCUAGUAAAAUAUAAGAUUGGAUCUCAAUACAAAUUCAAUUUUAAUAAUUGUUUGAUAUGAAAAAACGUUACCUUAAAGAACGUCACAGCUAAUUCCCUAACAACAGAAUCAAAAUCGGGAACGCUACGUACAGUAUUUCGGUUUCUUUUAUCAACGUGAUUGAAUUAAAAAAAUAAUACAUACAGACUUCGUCCCCAUUCACAGGUUAUGCCUGCCUCAUAUUAGAGCUAUAUGUUGGGAUUCAUUACACAUCUCCUUGUUUUAUAGAGCUAUAUGUUGGGAUUCAUUACACAUCUCCUUGUUUUAUAGAGCUAGUGAGUAUAUGUUAAAAGCCAUUGUGUACUCAUGAAGAUGAACAAGUUCAAUCAAAUAUAAAAAUAAAUUUCAGAUAAAUCAUAUUGAAGAUAAUUUUUCUAUAAAAGCUACAAUUAACACAGAGUAGUUUACAUUAGAUGUAGUAGGUAUUAUAUGUAGACAUUUAUAUCAUAGAGAGAACAAAAAUUACAAAAAUCAUUUAAAAAUCAAAGGAGAAUUACACAACUGAUUACUUAGAAUUCAUUAUAAUUUUAAAGGGCAACCAAUUUUGUGGACAGAGGGGAAAUGUAUUAUAACUGUAACUUGAUUUUUUGGUCUUGACAAGAUUCAUUUAUUAGGUCGAUUGAAAUCUGGUAUUUUAAUAAUGAAUCCACUGUAUAAGAGUUAUUUUCAGUUUUGAGAAGUUCCCUUAUUUUUUUCUAUUCACAACAAGGCUACAAAUAUUGAAUAAACAUUAAAGUAUAAUCCAGAUUUAAAGUUACUCAUACAUAUAUAAGAUUGUAUUGCCUUUAAUUGUGAAAUGUUCCACCACAGAACAUUCUGUUAGGUAUUGUAAGUUGUGAUGAAAUGCACAACACCUGUGGUUUCUACCUGAUUAAAUCAAUUUAAUUAUGUGUAUUCACCUGUAAUCAAAGUUUGGCAUGCAAACAAAACAGUUAUCUAUGCCAUUUGUUAAUUAGACUGAAAUUAGAAACUUUUAUCUCAUUACUGGUUAAUUUGGUAGAGAAUUUAUUGUUAGUUAUUCAUUGCAGAGUUGAUAUCUGUACUAGGCGCAAUAUGUGUUAAAUAUUGUAGUCUGAGACAGAAAGACUGCUUUUAAAAACAAAUAAAAAUGUUAUUAAUAUUUUGCUGAAGUAAAACAAAAACAUUAAAAGAACUAAUAUAUAUUGUUUGAGAACUGUAUCAUUAUAUAUAUUGACCAAAUGAAUGAUAACCAAUGAUAUAUGUCACGUCAUAUGUUAUAGUAUUGAGUAAAUAAUCAUUAGAUUACAUGAUUUUAAUCACAUUGGUAUAUUGUUGUCCCAGUUGAUUCCUUUACUAGGUUCAACUUAAUUUAUUGGAGUCUGGACUGAAGGACUUCAAUUGUUGUUGCUAAAAUAAAGGUUUACAGUAUUUCAUAUUAUACUGACUUAAAGACUAUAACUACCAUUUAUAGUUUAUAGUGACUUAGUGAGUCACAUCAAAACUACCAGAAAUAAUUUGUUUUACUGUGACUUAUACACAAUAGGCUUCAAAUUCAUCUUUUAUAAAAGGUAAAAUUUUGCCCCAAAAAAGUAAAAUUUGCAGUUUGGAUUUUUAGGCCAUUUUUCCAAGUUGCUUACAGAAAUAUCAAUGUUAUGGAUGAUCUGUUUGGUCCAACCUUCUUUCACAGUCACUCUUGACACUGCACUAUAAGGUCAAAGGUUGAUGUUCACAGUCACUCUUGACACUGCACUAUAAGGUCAAAAGUUGAUGUUCACAGUCGCUCUUGACACUGCACUAUAAGGUCAAAGGUUGAUGUUUAUAACUGUAUUGUUAUGUUCCAAACAUACUGAAUAUUAGGCCGUUAGUUUUCUCCUUUGAAUUGUUUUUCAUUGUCAUUUCGGGGCCUUUUAUAGCUGACUAUGUAGUAUAGGCUUUGCUCAUUGUUGAAGGCCAUACUGUGACCUAUUAAUUUCUGGGUCAUAUGGUCUCCUGUGGAAAGUUAUCUCGUUGGCAAUCAUACCACAUCUUCUAUUUUAUAUGAAUUGCUGUCUCCUGACUAAAGUCAUGUACAAAACAUUUUGAUUCAUUGACAGCUAAUUAAUGUGUAAUAUAUAUAGAAUUGUUUCGUAUCAGUUGAAAUGAUGAGUGUAAUAUGUAAUACCUCACGUUUUUUUAAAUGUUACAGACUAUGAGGACUUGCUGAGGAGGGAAAUGUAUUUAGCACCUACAUGUUGCUAAUUUACUUUUGAUUCAUUGACAGCUAAUUAGUGUGUAAUAUAUAUAUAGAGUUGUUUGGUAUGAUUUGAAAUGAUGAGUGAAAUAUGUAAUACCUCACGUUUGUUUAAAUGUUACUGACGAUGAGGAGGUAAAUGUAUUUAGCACCUACAUGUAGCUAAUUUACUUUACUUUAAUAACAAAUCUGUAAAAGAUGUAGGAAGGUGCUGAUACUGCUCUUGUUUUGUGAGAAAUAUUUCAUUAGACAUCAGAACUUGUGUGGGUUGUCACAGGUUGUAACAGGGGGACGUAUGUGUGGUUCAUAUGUCUCAGGGGUUUGCUCAGGGGUUUUCAAAAAUAUUGUAUUAUAAACUUGCAUAUUUUGCCAUUCAUUAGAACCUGUGUGGUUGAUUUGUUUCAUGGAUUUACUUAAAUGUAUCAUAUUUCUACCCAUGAGUCCAAGAACAUUUAUUUCUAACCCCUUAUCUAAAUAUUAUUGUUAAAAUAAGUGGCCGUUAUAGAAAGUGUAGGAUUAGACCUACAAAUCCCUGGCAUGUUUCCAAGGACUAAUCACUAUAUAGGUCAGAUACUAACGGCCUAUAGUUUACUUUUACUUUAUCUGUCUGAUAGUGUUAUAUGUUUCCAUAAGGUGUGACAUGACAAAUGUAUACACAUCAUGCCUAAAGCACCGGAUAUUUAAUUUGGCAAACUUCAUGUUUAGAAUCAUGUAUCUCUUAUACAGGGCAUAAUAGUAACUGAUUGGAAAAGGACAUGUCAUUUAUGUUUAGCUUAGAGGAAAGUGUAAUGACAUGAAUUAAUACUUUUAUACUUUUCUGUACUAGGUCUUAUGUAUUAUUUAGUGAUGAUUUGUCUCUAAGAAUUUAAUUCCUGUUUUCCUGAAUAAAUUCUCUCAUAUCAGAAACCAUAUUGAGCUAUCAGAAACAGAUGCCAUAAUUAUAGCAUACACAUAUUAGUAACAGAAUUCAUUAAAAAGUAUUAAAUAUAUAACAAAAAAAAAAGUCAUGCAUAUUAAAUAUACAACAAAAAAAAACACACACAGAAGUCUUUCUGUUUCAUUUUCAAAUAGGAUGUACUUUGAGUAAAUUUAAAAAUGAUUUCUAUUUGAGUUUUGCUGACAAGUACUUUUUGUGACCAAUUUAUACUUGGUCUCUUGAGGAGAGUUGUCUCAUUGGCAGAAAUACCAUAACUAUUUAUUUUUUUUAAAAAUGUUAUAAGUAGAAAAUUCCACACUGUCUCCUUUAUUUUAAUUUUAUGGAAAGGUACCUGUUUUAAUAAAAUACGAGAGCAUAUUGGGGGUUUAAAGACAUUGUUCAUUUUAGCUUAAAGCACAGACAUAAAUUCUAAUAUUAAAAAAAAAAAUCAUAGAAAAUUGAUCAGUAUAAUAUUUCACUGUUAACUUUGAUUGAAACGAUAUAUGCUCUUCAUUUUGGUCAAUGUUUACAAGCCUUCUUGUAGACAAUUCAAAACUAUACAUUUGUAUAUAGAAAAUUUGGGGUAGCGUUAAUAAACAAAAUAAUAACAAACAGUUUUAUUUUAUCUCGUUUCUUUCUUUGUAUGAACAUAAAGUUACACCACAUAACAUUCACAUGAAGUUUACACAAUUACUUUUAUUAUUCACACUCAAGAUAAUCAUAGAUUUAGUUCACAAAAGGAAUUCCAUUUUAAUAUAAACAUAAGUGGACGUGUCUAGGCGGCUAGUCCUUUGUGAGGUUCUGAUAGCCAUCUGCUGGUUUUAUCUCCAGUUGUCAAUCUGUCUUUGUCCAGGGUUUACAGUUAUCUUUGGUCACUCAGGUAGAAAUUGACAACCCGGCCUAACGGGUAUGAUUUACCUGUCACGAUACCAUGUGACCAUUGUCCUGUCACCUGUCUCUCGUUUGUCUUUUGUUGACAGUAUGAAAACAGUUAGUUUGACUCAAGCUCAAGUCUUUAUUGAAAUAAUUGGUCUAAAGAUUAGGGCUUUGCUUCAGUGAGAAAUGUAAUGUUAUAACAUUUGACACAGAUUAUUAAAAAAAAGAAUAAAGCAAAAUAUAAGUAUGAUUUGUUUUUAAUUCCAAGGCCUCGAAUUGUAUGUUAUCCUGAAUAUUAUAGAUUUGCUUAUUUUCCUUGUUUAAUAUUUAAAAAUAUACACUGUGGUUAAGAUUCUGAUUACUGGAAAAAAAAUAUUGCAAAUUACAAUGUAUAGUUUUGUCACUUCAACCUGAGACUCAGCUCCAACUUUAUUUUUUAUAGACACUUUGUUAUAGAAACAAAGUUUAAUUGUAAGAGCCUACAUGAAUAAUAUUUGUCAGAUUUAUCUUUAAGGCCAAUUAAAAUUGAAUGGUAGAUUUUCAUCCCCGCCCCCCUCUAAAACUUCCCGCCCAUUUUUUUUUUUAAAAAAAUACGAUUUCAGAUUUGUUCAUUUCCUUACCAGUAACCGUCAUAAUUUCGUUUCAUCUAGAACUUCCUUUCGAUUUCGGUUUUCGUAUUUCAUAGCUAUUCUUACUGAAUGAUUAGUCGAUAUAUCUGCUGAUCUUUGUGACAACAUAUUACGAGAAUAGAGAUUAUACGAGAAGCGUGAAUAUUCAGUUACGAUAAUCGCUGUGCCCAAGAACGCAAAUCCCGUAUGUCACAAAUGACACAAAUUUUCGAGUAAACAACUUGAUUUAUUUUAUUAUGCAAUACUUUGUUCAAGAAAUUUGACUUGAAUGAAACACAAAACCGUUAGAAUCGUGGAACACAUUGACUGCCAAUCAUAACUUUUUAGUGGACCGUAUAUGAGAGUAAACAAAUCACAAACACGCAUUUUCAAUUAUUAAUUGAUAGCAAGCCUUAGAUUUAAUUAGCCUUAGUUUCGUUUUGCAGAAAAGAGAAAACAUCCUCUGUCCCAAUCCCACGAUAGGUCAUAACAACUUAUUUUCUACAUUUAAUUAUAUGCACUUCAUAUUAGACCAAUCCUAUAUUUAAACACUUUGAUUUUCAUUUUAUUCUUACUUAUCGUACUUGUUUGCAUACCAAUGCACUUGCUUCAUUAUUAGGACAACAAACAUUGCUUAGAAAGCAAAACAUUUGAGAGGAGUCCACUGAAAACAUUCUCCACACUUCUGCUGUUUACUAUAAAAUAGUUUCUAAAGCGGCAAUUACAUGAGAACAGAUCAGAGAUAUAUAUUUAUGAAUUGAAAAAAGCGGCACCAGCAUAUGGAUAUAUGUGCUCAAUUGAUAUGUUACUCUAGAGCUAUAGCUCAAAGUACGUUGAUUUUGUUGAACGAGGAAUACUGCUUUCUCAAAAUUGCUAAGACAGGCCAAAUUAAGUCAACACUCAUGCAAUUUAUGUCCCAUCUGAGCUAAUUGCCAUUGACAAAAGUGUGUCAGAAUCAUAUCUCUGAUAUUCUCCUCAGUCAUAUACAACCUUUCUCAUUACCAACGAACAAAGAAAGAAAAUUACGGGGCCGUAUACGUGCAGGAAUGCUUACCCUCCGCAAGCACCUAUUUACUCCUGGUUUUUUAAUAGUGGAUUCGUGUUGUGUCCUACUUAUUAUUUGUAACUGUUGAUGUAAAUGUCUUUGGUUUUUUAUGAGUCCUUGGUACUCUGUUUAUUGUUAUUGUUAUACACACCUUAUGAAUGUUAUUACAUAAUAUAAGCUAUUCUACACUUCAUAUAUGAAAACACAUGACAAGAAUUUCUAUGAAAUAAAAUUAAAAAAAAAAAAUCUCCCACCCGCCCUAUUUUUUUCAAAAUUUGGAUGAAAAUCUCUAAUUAAUUUUAGUUGGCCUAAUGCAGAAUCACAAAAAUCUUAAAUCAAAAGUGCAUUAAAUAAAAUCGGGCAAACAAAAUAAAGAAUGAAUUGUAAGUUGGUGAUUAAGUAAGAGUGAUUAUGACAUACAUUAAUCAUAAUAGAUAAGGAAGACAUAUAGAUAACAGUAAUAUUGGUUAAUCUAAAGUACAAUUAUAUCCGAUUUAUUGUCUUAAUCAAUCAUAUAUUACAUCCUGGAUCAAGAUUUUCCCUGUUUUUUUUUAUUGCGUGAACCCCUCAGUUUUGUUUAAUGUAGAAAGAGAUUGGACCAAUUUCCCUUGAAACUUUGUUCCUAGAAUCAAAACAUACUACAGUUAUAAUAUAUAGAAGAUACCAAAUCCCACUAGAAUUUGAAAUAUCAGAGACUAUAUUCAUUACAACAGUCCAUAAAACAUAAAGUUAUUCAGCAUUAAAGACAAUUUUAUACAAAAUUGAAAAUUUAACAUGUAUAAGUAACCUUUUUGCAUUGAAGAAUGUCUAACAAAAAUCAGCUGAUUUGUAUUUUAAUGGAAGUAUAUUUCUGUACAUUCAACAUAACCUUGGAUUUGCAGUUAUUACAUUUUAUUGAUUUCCAAAAUCUGUCAAAAUUGCAGUUUUUAGUUUUCUUGAGGCAUUUAUUAUAAUCGAUCAUUUGUUAAGAAGUAGGUCAUACUACUGUUAGAACCUCUCAGUACCAGUACAUACAUGGGGUGUGGAACUCAGAAUUCAAAUAAAGGGGAAACACUUUUUGAAAAUGGCCUUUAUUAUGUUAGAUAAUAAUAAUAAUAAUAAUAAUAAUAAUAAAUUCUUUAUUUAAAGAGGGUAAGCACAGUUAGUAUGUUGAUAUAUGUAGGGGAAAUGACCAAAUAUCUUUGCUAAUGGUACACUGCCUAGAGUAACAGACCAAAUCUCUUAUUAGGUCUCUUCGUGUUUGUUGUUGUAAAUAGAAGAUUAAAGUUUAGCUUUAAUUUCCAGAAUAAUUGAAAAAAGCUCUUUUGAUCUGUAAUUGUAUGAAAUUUCUUCUUUUUAUCGUUAAUUAUUGGACUGUCAAUCCUUUAUUCAUACCAGCAUAAUGCCAUGCGUACGGUGAAAAUAUUCAAUGUCUCAUUUGGCAGAUGUUUGGACAAAGUCUGCGCUGACUUCCACAUUUAUUUAUUUUCCCACAAAGAAUAAUAUUUCAAAUUUGCACACACUUCUUGUGAAAAGACCCAGUAAUGGAGGGAAAGUAUGGAUAAUGAUUUUCAUUCAGAGUAAAUCAAUGCAGCCUGAUUUCAUAUUUUCUUUGUUGACAUUCUCAACACAUGUUACCACUGUCACAUGUCCGUAUCAAAAUAUGAAAGAUUGCUGACAGAUAAAAACAUGAAUAUCAUAUUUCAUAUGCUAAUGUUAUAAAUUAUGUACAGUUUUAAUACUGGGUUAUUGUGUUACCAUAGGGUAGCUUAUUUAUAAGGUCAAACGUGCAACUCAAUGAUUACAUAGAAAUUAAGUUCAUUGAAAAUUUUCAAUGAGCUAUCGGUUACAAGUUGUCUCUGAGAGGCUUCUUGAAAUGAGGUCCAGAAUUCAAUGUAAUUGGAUAUCAAAGUCACAGUUGUUGAAAGCUAAGUGGAAUUCUACAUUCCCCUGUAACCCCCUUUCCAUUUUCAAGCCAAACAAAUUUUGAAAGCAUCAAGAAACUUCAGACUACCAAACGAUAACAUUGACGUAUUUACGAUAGUAGAAAUAUUACUGUUGCCAUUGUUUAAUCUUAUUUUGCUUGUUAGAUAUUUGAAAGCAAAUCUUGCACUCCUCGGCCUCCACAACAAAAAUAUUAUCCUCAGCUAUAAAUUAUCUUAAGUUUCUGUUUACAAUACAUUUACACUAAAAAAUUGAAUUGUAAUGUCUAUUUCUUCUGAAGGGUGCAAUAUAUAAGGAGCAAAACACUUAUUUGUUUGAUUUAGAUAACAUAGAAAANNNNNNNNNNNNNNNNNNNNNNNNNNNNNNNNNNNNNNNNNNNNNNNNNNNNNNNNNNNNNNNNNNNNNNNNNNNNNNNNNNNNNNNNNNNNNNNNNNNNNNNNNNNNNNNNNNNNNNNNNNNNNNNNNNNNNNNNNNNNNNNNNNNNNNNNNNNNNNNNNNNNNNNNNNNNNNNNNNNNNNNNNNNNNNNNNNNNNNNNNNNNNNNNNNNNNNNNNNNNNNNNNNNNNNNNNNNNNNNNNNNNNNNNNNNNNNNNNNNNNNNNNNNNNNNNNNNNNNNNNNNNNNNNNNNNNNNNNNNNNNNNNNNNNNNNNNNNNNNNNNNNNNNNNNNNNNNNNNNNNNNNNNNNNNNNNNNNNNNNNNNNNNNNNNNNNNNNNNNNNNNNNNNNNNNNNNNNNNNNNNNNNNNNNNNNNNNNNNNNNNNNNNNNNNNNNNNNNNNNNNNNNNNNNNNNNNNNNNNNNNNNNNNNNNNNNNNNNNNNNNNNNNNNNNNNNNNNNNNNNNNNNNNNNNNNNNNNNNNNNNNNNNNNNNNNNNNNNNNNNNNNNNNNNNNNNNNNNNNNNNNNNNNNNNNNNNNNNNNNNNNNNNNNNNNNNNNNNNNNNNNNNNNNNNNNNNNNNNNNNNNNNNNNNNNNNNNNNNNNNNNNNNNNNNNNNNNNNNNNNNNNNNNNNNNNNNNNNNNNNNNNNNNNNNNNNNNNNNNNNNNNNNNNNNNNNNNNNNNNNNNNNNNNNNNNNNNNNNNNNNNNNNNNNNNNNNNNNNNNNNNNNNNNNNNNNNNNNNNNNNNNNNNNNNNNNNNNNNNNNNNNNNNNNNNNNNNNNNNNNNNNNNNNNNNNNNNNNNNNNNNNNNNNNNNNNNNNNNNNNNNNNNNNNNNNNNNNNNNNNNNNNNNNNNNNNNNNNNNNNNNNNNNNNNNNNNNNNNNNNNNNNNNNNNNNNNNNNNNNNNNNNNNNNNNNNNNNNNNNNNNNNNNNNNNNNNNNNNNNNNNNNNNNNNNNNNNNNNNNCGGAAUAUGACUUUUUUUCUAAUACAAUUGACAUGUUUGGUGUUUUUAUUAUAAUUUUUGAUAAUAGAACAGUAUAUGAUUGUUUCUUCUAAUACAAUUGAAAAUUUCUGAAUGUUUUAUUUUAUAAUUAAUACAAUUUCCUGCUUUCAUUGUUUAUAACUGUAAAUUAGUGUCAAAUAAGUUAUAAAUAUCUUCUCAUUAAUUACUAGAAUUAAUUUGUCACAGGGUCAUUGAUCUUCCAAGCAUAAAAACUUCCUCAGGGAUAAUGUCAUUUUCUCACUAAAGUUGACAAAGAAGUGACCCCUGGUCAUCUGAGGUAAUUUGACCUUUGACUGAUAAUGAUCUAACACUUGGACAAUAUUACUGAUAAUUUGGACUAAUAUCAAAUCUUUGAUUAUGUCAUUUAUCUAUAAGAUCAAAGUUUUUUUUCUGACUCAAAAGAAGUUAAUGUCUGUAUUCAUAAUACAUCAAUUAAAUCUAAUAUUAUCAUUUAAAUUUGAUAAAGGAAGUAUUAAAAUACUUUUAUAUCAAUAAAACUUAAACAUUUAUUAUAAAAUAUUAUGUUGUGGCUUUCGAUUCCACCUUCAGAAUGGAAUUUCCUAAAUAAUUUAGAAAUUGUGAAAUGAGAUGCACCCAUGUGAUUUGAUAACUCCUAGAAUUUGUUGGACUGAUAUGUAUUUGAUAGUUUAUUUUUCUAUACAAAUGGUAUUAUGAUUAUUUAAAAGAGUUUUCAAUGGUGUGUCUUUAAAAAAAAUAAACCAAAAAAUAGAAACUUGUAAUGAAAAGAUUUUAUUAAAAAAUAGACCGCAAGGUGUAUACAAAUAUGGUCAUCCCUUAUUCUUCUUCUUAAAAAAUAGACUGCAAGGUGUAUACAAAUAUGGUCAUCCCUUAUUCUUCUUCUGAUCAGCAGUUAAACCCUUGUCAAAGCUAGGCAUCUGUUUGGUUAUCUAGAUGUAUAAAUUUGCAGGCAAGUCCUGUCAAAUUGGAGAAGUUAAAUUCAAUGCACUGUCUAUAGAGAGUGCCACCCUUUAGCUGUCUAUUUACCAUGCAAAGUAAAGAAAACAACAAUCAAUCUAUCAAAAUAAAAAGUACAUUAAAAGGAGCUUUCAGUGGCCCCUACACCCGUAGAAUUUUUAUGUGUUUUGAUUCGUCACAUUUUAAAAACAAAUCUGUAUUUUCAAACUGCUCAAGUUGGAAUUAAAUUUUAAAAUGUCUUCUCUUUGGAAAUUUUCUUCAGGAUUAUCUGAUAAUGUGUUUAAUACUUUGUGGGAGUGUUAUCUAUUUGCCAGGAGUAAAUUCUUGUUAUCCGCUGUUUCUUCACUUAGAUGAUUUGAUAUAAUGUCCUAAUGCUUCUAAGUCUCAAUAAUUUCUCUGCCAAUAAUAUGAAUCAAUAUCGACUAAUUGAAUGACUCUUGGAAAAUACUAUGACUCAAUUCUACAUGUCCCUGAAUUGUAAUGAAUUUUUUACACAUUGAUGGAUAUUUUAUGGAAAUGUUUUGAUUGUUAUUUCUUUAAAAAUUGAGUGAAUAUUAGUUGUCUGAAUGGUGACAGUAUAUAUUUCCUUUUGUAAUUAUUGUCAUAGAACAUGACAUUUAUCAAUCAAUGUGUUUUUUACAGUUUUAUGAUUUUCCUGAUGUAAUGUUGACAUGUUCGUUAUACAAAUUAUUUUUUACUUAUCAGCAAUCAAUCAUUCCAUAGUUUACUGCCAACUUUCAACGAUUGAUGUAUUUGCAGAUUGCAUAGGUGGACCCAGAGGAGGCCCGUGGGAGCCUGCCCCUCUUUUGUUGCAAAAUUUUUGUUGAUUAUUUAAUAUAUAGGGAAUCACUGAAGCAUGAAUGUUACUGCCCCCUGUUAAGGCAGCCAAUGGGCCCCCCUUAUAAAAAGUUCUGGACCCACUACUGAAUUGUUUCAAUUUUUUUCAAAUUUUACAUAUUUUUUUUCUUCAGCAUUUUUAAUGCAAAAUGUAGUUAGAUCGAUUGAUGUUUGCUUAAUGUUCUAAAAUCAGUUUGAAGUAAGCAUGGCUUCUAUAUAAAGUGUAUAAGCACUCACCAAUAAACAGACACACUAUCUUGACAUGGAAACAUUUAAUAUCAUCAUUUGUCAUCAGCAUGUGAUAGAAGCUAAUUCAUUGUUGUAAAGAGAACAAUAGGCUUAUGACUGUUAAGGAGCUUUAUUAUAAAGGUUAUGUUGAUGGGAGGAAGAAAAUGUAUUUGUUAUUCUGAUUGAAUUUUUUUUAUGGUUGUUUUCCAACUGAAUAAGAGGAUUUACGGCACGUUGUAUUCAUCGUGUCAGCGACGGUAUUACAUCAUAGAUCAAUAGAAACGUUCAACCCCACGUGUUAUUCAGAUUGGAGAAACCUUCAAUCCUGCAUGUUAUACAGAUUGGAGAAAUCUGAUUCCAAGGAUUUAGUCCGAGAUAUAAUUACAGGGAAUGUGUGGGUUUAGUACUGCUGUUUAUGAUAUAUAUUUAAUAGUAGACAUUGAAGUAUUUAGAAAUCAAUAACACGUUUUUGUAAUGAUGACAGUAAUUGUUUAUUAAAUACAGAAGUUUAUGGCAUGUUGUUGUAAAUAUUUAACCCAAUAACAGAAAUUCAAAAUAAUGGUUAGGUUGUUUAAUCUGUUUCCAUCCAGUAAAACAAUUUGAUACUACAAAUGUGUAUUAAAUACCAAUUUGUCAAGGGACUCACAUUUUUACAAACAUAAAACUCCAGGGACACUUACAAUCAUGAAAAGUUACUGACACACUCUGAUAUACAAUAAUGCAAGAGACACCACAAAACCUACUUGUAGUAAAACAUAAAAUGGCAAAUGGAAAUGGGGGAAUGUGUCAAAGAGACAACAACCCGGCCAAAGAGCAGAAAACAGAGGAAGAUCACCAAUGGGUCUUCAACACAGCAAGAAAAACCUGUGUCCUGACAGGGCCUUAAAACAAAAAUAUGUACUAGUUCAGUGGAAAGGGACGUCAUACUAAACUCCAAAACAUAUUUAUAAUUGAACUAAAAUUAAAAAUCAUACAAGACUAACAAAGGCCAGAGGCUCCCGCAUUGGGACAGACGCAGAAAAUGUGGUAACCAAAACAUAUUUGUUAAGUUAGUACUUGGUGUACCCUUAUGUUGCAUGCAUGUUUUAAAUUUAACAUUUAUGAAAAUAUUUUGUCCUGAAAUUAGUUAAGUGUUCAUCAUGGGGGAAAUGUAUUAUUUGUGAACUUUGUCCUGAUAAAGUGUUUAUAUCUAUAAAAAAUAUUUUGUUACACUAGAUUGUGGAUAAUGCAAUCUUUUGUAAGAGAACAUUCUAGUUCUAUAUUAUCAGCAUUUUUGUAAUCAUAUUGAUUGUGUAAUUCUGGGGAUUGUCUCAAAGGUUAAAUCAAUCAACAAGAAGUCCUCAAUCUGUGUAUAUUGAACUUUAAAUUAUUAUUGAUUAUAAUAAAUAGUAUCUCAGUUAAUCAUGAAGAAAUCUGUAGAAAAAAUGAAUUUAAUAGUGUCUCCAAGUCUUAUUUUGGUAUUUCUGGCGUAAUCAUGUAUGUUUUUUUUUUAUGCACCUGUCCUGAUUUACAUUUUCUGUGUACUUAUAGACAGUAUUAAGUUGGAGCCCCUAAUUUAAUGUUGGUAAUUGGUUGAAUUCUGUCAUGUUUAAAUAUCAGUUAUUAGUUUGUCAUAUGGCUCAAUAUCUUUAAUUGUUUUUCCAUAGGCGAUAAUGGUAACGUUUUUUCCUGUAGCUCAGUCCAUAUCGUAAACUUGGAUAUGUAUGAUAGCUUGUUUCGAAGCUGUGACAUUUUCACAUAUGUGGUUAAAUUUUCGGGGUACGAAGUGAGAUUACUUUUUCCGUAAAUUAGCAAACCCCGAACAUCCGUUUGUGAUGCGGCUCCUUGUGGUAAAAUAUCCCCUUUUUAACACAAUAAGUUCUUUGAAAAUUUAAUACUUUGAACACAUUCAAUAGCUCCAUAGUUUUUACACAUUUAUUCUAUGUUCCUCUACUUUCCUAAUCACCACAAAUAAUUAAGUUCAGUCAUUUGUUAAAAAUAGAAACAUGUCCAAUAUCACUACACAGAGAUUUUUUCUUUACACGUGACUUUUGAGUUCCUCAUUUCAAGGCGCAUUAGGGAUGUUGUCCCAUAUUGCAAUCCAUAGUUCUGAUUUUUCCAAAUAUUUUUAUGUGAUCUUCAUCGGUAUGACAUUCUGAAUAAAUCUGUGUAUUUUUGUCCAUUUCUGAAAAAAAAUAAAGUUGUUUCAGCACUAUAAGGCAAUGACACUUUUAUCGUUAUAUUUAUUUAUUUUGAAUACAAAGUGUAUGCAUAAUUAAUUUCUAACAGUAUACCUUCACUAGUCAAAAGAAGGACAAAACAUCUGAAUGUAACCUUAAAAUACAACACACAGACCCUGUUAAAGCAUUCAAUAAAAUUUUCUGGUGCCUAAAAGUGCAUUUUGACAGAGAAAUUAUGCAAAAAUGAAGAUUUCAUAAAAAAAAACACCAAAAUACUUAAUUAUUCUAGCCAGUGGAAACCUGGUAUUUUAUACUGUAGAAACCACUAUAAACUACUGUAAAAGUCAUUUGAAUCAUAUAAUUAGAGUGCGAUGAAGUGCAAAUUUUCAAAACUUGGUUCUUUCACAUAAUUGUAUUUGAGAAAAAAUGUUUUUACAUGUAUUUCAGUGAAAAUCUUUUAUCAGUGAGAUAUCGGCAUGAGGUUUUAAAGGAAACAUUGUGACAUCACACGUAAUAUGGCGUCAUUAAAUAACGACAUAUCAAAAUAAUGCUAAUUAUAGUUUGCAGUGUUACAUGAGGAACAGUUGCCGCAAGGUUUAACUUGAAAUAUGGAGUCGAAAAGAUCAGUAACCAAGCAUUUUCAUUUAAUGCCAAGACCAUAGCAACAGUUUUGCAUAUCAGUAUAUUUUUAACAUACAGACUGUAAUUUGAAUUGCAUAAAUACCAUAAAUAAACAAUUUAGAGCUUGCCAAAUAAAACAAAAUGCUUACCAGUUAUUCAGGACCUUUUAAAACCUCUAGUUUGUCAUCUCAGGUUAAAAAGUAAUGAUAUGUCUGGAACUGAAAUAAGACAAAAAAAUUACUCAGGCUGUGUUAUUAUUUGGUUUGAAUGCAUAAGUAUUAUUGAGAGAGCAAAAAUCAAAUUCUUGAACGUUUUAUCGCAAAGAAAGAAAAAUGCUUCUCCCUUGUGGCUUAUCAACCUUCAUUUAAAUCUUUUAUAUUAGAAGCAACGAGUGGUAGCUAACUAGCUUAAUAGUUGAAAAGGUGCAGCAAUAUUGUUUUCGAAAGGUUUGUUGACCCUCCCCCUUUUUCACUGAGAAAAGACAAUAUCUUGUGAUUUGCUAGUGUGCAUUACAAAUAAUAAUUCAUGAUUUCUUUAAUACAUGUACAUGUUUGUCUGUUUAUUAACUGCAUAUGAUAUCUACUGACUGACCAUGGGUCAAAUUAUUGGAUAAAAGCACAUGAUGAUGAUGUAUUUCACUUUACUCGUAUUGAGUGUGUUAUCUCCCUUGAUUAUCAGUUAUUCCUGUAAACCGGAGUGAUAAUUACAUAACAAAGACUGUAUUGUGUCAUGUUUACUUACAGAUAAAACUAUUAUGUUAGUUCAUGCCUUUUUCAAUUCAUAAACAAAUUCCUUUCGGAUCUCUCGGGGGUGUAAACAAAGUUAGAAUUGUGCCUAAAAAAAGUGUUCAGCCCCGUGCCUGUAAUGCUUUCUAAAAGCGAAAAUUUCAUUGAGUAUCUGCUGGUAUUUAUCUAUAAUGGUUAUCUGAAAUCAUCUGGGAUAUCUGGGUAUAAAUAAAAAAAUACUUACCAUCAUUUUCACAAUUUUCCCGGGUGUACAAGGUGAAAUCAUCAUCCAUAGAUCACUCUGAUAACUUCUGAUUUAUCUUUUUGUAAAUUGGCUCAAUAUCUUUAAUUGUUUUUCCAUAGGCGAUAAUGGUAACGUUUUUUCCUGUAGCUCAGUCCAUAUCGUAAACUUGGAUAUGUAUGAUAGCUUGUUUCGAAGCUGUGACAUUUUCACAUAUGUGGUUAAAUUUUCGGGGUACGAAGUGAGAUUACUUUUUCCGUAAAUUAGCAAACCCCGAACAUCCGUUUGUGAUGCGGCUCCUUUGUGGUAAAAAUAUCCCCUUUUUAACACAAUAAGUUCUUUGAAAAUUUAAUACUUUGAACACAUUCAAUAGCUCCAUAGUUUUUACACAUUUAUUCUAUGUUCCUCUACUUUCCUAAUCACCACAAAUAAUUAAGUUCAGUCAUUUGUUAAAAAUAGAAACAUGUCCAAUCACUACACAGAGAUUUUUUCUUUACACGUGACUUUUGAGUUCCUCAUUUCAAGGCGCAUUAGGGAUUUGCCCAUAUAUUUCGGCAUUCACAGGUUUCUUGUUAGAUUCUUUAUUUGUCUCCUUGCCUUAUAUAUAAUAUAGAUGCCAUAGGUAGCUAUAGUUGUUAAUCUUUGUACUAGUGGUUUUCUCAUUGGGAUUCAUUACACAUCUCCGUGUUUUAUAGAGCUAUAUGUAAAAACCAUUGUGUACUCAUGAAGAUGAACAAGUUCAAUCAAAUAUAAUAAAAAUAAAUUUUAUAUAAAUCAUCAUAUUGAAGAUAAUUUUUGUCGAGCCUGCAACUUUUGUUGCAGAAAGCUCGACAUAGGGAUAGUGAUCGGCGGCUGCGGCGGCGUUAGCUUACUUCUUAAAAGUUUUAUUGGAAGGUGGAAGACUGGUGCUUCAUACUUUGUAUAUAGAUGCCUCAUGUUACGAAGUUUCGUCAGUCACUGUCCAUGUCCUUGACUCUUUCAUGGUUCAGUGACUACUUGAAAAAAGUGAAGAAUUUUUGUAAUGCUAAAUUCUCUGUUAUUAUAAGUAAUAGGAUAACUAUAUUUGAUAUGUGCGUACCUUGCAAGGUCCUCAUGCCCGUCAGACAGCUUUAACUUGACCUCAACCUCAUUUCAUGGAUCAGUGAACAAGGUAAGUUUGUAGUCAAUCCAUAUCUCAAUACUACAAGCAAUAGAUCUAGUAUAUUGGGUGUAGGAAGACUGUAAGGGUACAGUCCAACUGACAGGUGUCAUUGACCUUGACCUCACUUUCAGUCUUGGUUUAUAGUUAAGUUUUUGUGUUUUGGUCUGUUUUUCUUAUGCUAUAUGCAAUAGGUCUGCUAUAUUUGGUGUAUGGAAUGAUUGUAAGGUGUACGUGUCUGGCUGACAGGUGUCAUCUGACCUUGACCUCAUUUUCAUGGUUCAAUGGUCAAAAUUAAGUUUUUGAGUUUUAAUAAAUUUUUCUUAUACUAUAUGCAAUAGGUCAACUAAAUUUGGUGUAUGGAAAUAUUUUAUGAUCAAUAUGUCGGAUUGUUAAACAUUUUAUUUAACCUUGACCUCUUUUCAAGGUUCAUUGUAAGCGUUUAAAUUUGUGUUUUGGUUUUGUUUUCUUAAUUAUAAGAAUAGGUCAACCUAUAUUUGUUGUAUGAAGAAUUUUUAGCUGUACAUGUUUGCCUGGCAUGGUUCAUCUGACCUUGACCUCAUUUUCAAGGUUCAUUGACCAAUGUUUAGUUUUCUUGGUUAAUGUUGAGUUUAUGUGAUAGUUGUAAUAAAGCUUUAUAUUUAGGACUAUCUAAAUAAUAUCAAUGAUUAGUAAAGAAGGUGAGACAUUUUAGCAUGUGCACUCUUGUUCUAUAAAAGCUACAAUUAACACAGAGUAGUUUACAUUAGAUGUGGUAGGAAUUUUUCAUGUAGGCAUUUAUAUCAUAGAGAGAACAAAAAUUACAAAAAUCAUUUGAAAAUAAAAUGAGAAUUACACAACUGAUUACUUAGAAUUCAUUAUAAUUUUAAAGGGUAACCAAUUUUGUAUUAUAACUGUAACUUGAUUUUUUGGUCUUGACAAGAUUCAUUUAGGUCGAUUGAAAUCUGGUAUUUUAAUAAUGAAUCCACUGUAUAAGAGUUAUUUUCAGUUUUGAGAAGUUCCCUUAUUUUUUCUAUUCACAACAAAGCUACAAAUAUUGAAUAAACAUUAAAGUAUUAUCCAGAUUUAAAGUUACUCAUGUACAAGAUUGUAUUGCCUUAAAUUGUGAAAUGUUCCACCACAGAACAUUCUGUAAGUUGUGAUCAUGUGUACAACACCUGCUGGUUUCUACCUGAUUAAAUCAAUUUAAUUAUGUGUAUUCACCUGUAAUUAAAGUUUGGCAUGCAAACAAAACAGUUUAUAUCCAUGCCAUUUGUUAAUUAGACUGAAAUUAGAAACUGUAAUCUCAUUACUAGUUAAUUCGGUAGAGAAUUUAUUGUUAGUUAUUCAUUGCAGAGUUGAUAUCUGUACUAGGCAAAAUAUGUGUUAAAUAUUGGAGUCUGAGACUGAAAGACUAUGCUUUUAAAAACAAAACAAAAAAUGCUAUUAAUAUUUUGCUGAAGUAAAAAAAAAACAUUAAAAGGACUGAUAUAUAUUGUUUGAGAACUGUAUCAUUAAAUGAAUGAUAACCUUCUCACGUCAUAUGUUAUAGUAUUGAGUAAAUUAUCAUUGGAUUACAUGAAUAGUGACUAGUCACAUCAAAACUACCAGAAAUAAUUUGUUUUACUAUGACUUAUACACAAUAGGCUUUAAUUUCAUUCCUUAUAAAAGGUACAAAUUUGCCCAAAAAAAGUCAAAUUUUCAGUUUGGAUUUAUCUUUCAAUUGGAUUUUCAGGCCAUUUUUGCAAGUUGCUUACAGAAAUAUCAAUGUUAUGGAUGAUUUGUUCGGUCCAACCUUCUUUCACAGUCACUCUUGACACUGCACUAUAAGGUCAAAGGUUGAUGUUUAUUAAUGUAUUGUUCUGUUCCAAACAUACUGAAUAUUAGGCCAUUAGUUUUCUCCUUUGAAUUGUUUUACAGUGUCAUUUCAGGGCCUUUUAUAGCUGACUAUGCAGUAAGGGCAUUGCUCAUUGUUGAAGGCCAUACUGUGACCUAUUAAUUUCUGUGUCAUAUGGUCUCUCUCUUGUGGAAAGUUGUCUCGUUGGCAAUCAUACCACAUCUUCUGUUUUAUAUGAAUAGUUGUCUCCUGACUAAAGUCACGUACAAAACAUUUUGAUUCAUUGACAGCUAAUUAGUGUGUAAUAUAUAUAUAGAGUUGUUUCGUAUCAGUUGAAAUGAUGAGUGUAAUAUGUAAUACCUCACAUUUGUUUAAAUGUUACAGACUAUGAGGACUCGCUGAGGAGGUAAAUGUAUUUAGCACCUACAUGUUGCUAAUUUACUUUGAUUCAUUGACAGCUAAUUAGUGUGUUAUAUAUAUAUAGACAGUUGUUUGGUAUGAUUUUAAAUGAUAAGUGAAAUAUGUUUUACCUCACGUUUAUUUAAAUGUUACUGACGAUGAGGAGGUAAAUCUAUUUAGCACCUACAUGUAGCUAAUUUACUUUACUCUAAUAACAAAUCUGACUGUAAAAGAUGUAGGAAGGUGCUGAUACUGCGCUUGUUUUGUGAGAAAUAUUUCAUUAGACAUCAGAACUUAUGUGGGUUGUCAUAGGGGACAUAUGUGUGGUUCAUAUGUCUCAGGGGUUUGCUCAGGGGUUUUCAAAAAUAUUGUAUUAUAAACUUGCAUAUUUUGCCAUUCAUUAGAACCUGUGUGGUUGAUUUGUAAAUGUAUCAUAUUUCUACCCAUGAGUCUAAGAACACUUAUUUCUAACCCCUUAUCUAAAUAUUAUUGUUAAAAUAAGUGGCCGUUAUAAAAAGUGUAGGAUUAGACCUACAAAUCCCUGGCAUGUUUCCAAGGACUAACCACUAUAUAGGUCAGAUACUAACGGCCUAUAGUUUACUUUUACUUUAUCUGUCUGAUAGUGUUAUAUGUUUCCAUAAGGUGUGACAUGACAAAUGUAUACACAUCAUGCCUAAAGCACCGGAUAUUUAAUUUGGCAAACUUCAUGUUUAGAAUCAUGUUUCUAGUAUACAGGGCAUAAUAGUAACUGAGUGGAAAAGGACAUGUAAUACCAAGGAUGGGAGAGUGUUUGCUUGCUUUGUUGAUUUUCAUAAAGCUUUUGAUAAAGUAAUACAUACAGGAAUUAGAAUUAAGCUGUUAGAGAUUGGGGUUAGUUCAAGGUUUUAUAGCGUUAUAAAGAAUAUGUAUCUUGAAACUAGAUCUUGUAUAAAAAUACAUGAUAAAAUAACUGAAUUCUUUCAAACAAAGCUUGGUGUUAAACAAGGAGAUAACUUGAGUCCUAACUUGUUCUAAAUAUUUAUAAAUAGCCUUCCAGACUAUUUUACACGAACCAGAGAUCCAAUUAUGCUGGAUGGCAAACUCAUUCAUUGCCUUAUGUAUGCUGAUGACAUUGUAAUUUUAUCUAACUCAGCUGAAGGACUACAAGAGAAAUUAAAUGAACUUCAUAAUUUUUGCAAUGACUGGUGCUUAGAUAUAAAUACUAAAAAAACUAAGGUGUUGAUAUUCAACAAGGCAGGCAGACAUAUCUCUCAAAAAUUUAUUUUCAACAAAGAUGAGCUGGAGUGUGUAUCUAAUUAUAAAUAUUUGGGUAUCCAAUUUAAUGCAUCAUGUUCUUUUUCAUAUGCUCAGAAUGAUUUAUACCAAAGAGCCUUAAAAGCAUACUUCAAACUAUGUAAUGAUUUUUUAGUGCAUAAUCCUACUGUUAAAAAUGCAAUUCAUGUUUUUGACCAUACAAUAAAGCCUAUACUUUUAUAUGGGUGUGAAAUUUGGGGAUAUUUCAAUCCCUUUACUGCACGUUUAAAAAAAGAAAACAUAACAGUGGAUACAAUUUACUCAAGGAUACUUUGUGAAAAACUUCAUAUUAAAUUCUGCAAUAUAUUUUUAGGCGUUAAUAGGAAGAGUACAAACUUUGCAGUUUUGUCUGAAUUAGGCCGUUUUCCACUUCACUAUGAUAUAGUCAAACAUGUUUUAGGAUAUUGGCAUCGUUUAGAAAAUAUUGGCUCAUCAUUUCCCUUGUUAAAAGCUGCAUAUAAUUGUUCUAAAAAGCUAUUUGAAACAAAAAAAACCUCUUGGUAUGGAUCAAUUAAUAUUUUAAGGGAAAAAAUGUCAGGCAUAGAAAAACAUAUUCUUGAAAAAUACUCAACAUUUAAACUACACUGUGGUCAGAUAGUUAAGGGAUACUAUACUGCAUUGUGGAAAAAAACAGCUAGACAAACAUAAAGAUGGUAAACUACGAACUUAUGUAACAUUCAAGUGCAACUAUGGUUUUGAAAAUUAUUUGUCAAUAAUUCGACAUUUUGAGCAAAGGAAAUGUAUUACUAGAUUAAGAAUAUCUGCUCACAAAUUGCAAAUUGAAUCUGGUAGAUACCAGGGUACUCUUCGACAAAACCGAAUUUGUCUCAGGUGCACCUCAGGUGAGGUUGAGGAUGAAGUUCAUUUUUUAUUUAAAUGUGACACUCAUUUAUUAAAAAGAGAGGAAAUGAUGCAAAAUAUAUUAAAAAUCAUGUCCAAAACUUUCAAAAUUUAAAUAUUGAUAACAAAUUAAUUUGGAUAAUGAAUAAUGAGGAUCCUAAUGUACUAUUUGCAUUUUACAAAUAUAUAGAAGAUACUUAAGAAUUAAAGUACAACUUAAUCUGCAAUAACUAAUUCAUUAUAACUCUUUAAUAUGAAUUUGGAUACCCUGUUAAGCCUGCACAGAUCAUAAGAAGAAUUUCAAAUUCUUUGGCACCGUCCCUUGAUGAUCUUUGCUGGCUGGACACAGAAUCUAUAAUCUUAGAAAUAUGUUUUAAAAAUAUAUUUUCAAUAAUUAAGGAGCUUGACUCAUCUGCAUUAAGUACAAGUAGGGACUCCCCUUUAAGCACCGACUCUUGGUGCUUUCUGCAGAUAAGUCAUAUUAAAUAUCCUUUAUUAAAUAAACUUUGUUAUUUGCAGUAUACCUCAUAGUCAAAUGUGGGAGUGCUUAAUUGCUUUGUUUUUUAUUGGGUUCUUUUUGUAUUUUUAUAUAUUGACAUUUCUCCGCACAAACUACUAAUGCCUCAUGUUUGUCUUCUCAAAGUGAAGAUACACUUACCGGGUGCACUUGAGUCAUUUUCAACAUAGUAUUCAUUGAAUAAUAAUACAUUGCUACUAUUUCGUUGAGUGUAUUUUCUGUGUUAUAUUAUUUUAUUUUAUUAUUUUUAUAACACUUGUUACAUAUCUUUACUGUGUGUGUAUUGCAUAUGUUAUUGUUUAUAAUAAUAUUGUCUGUAUCAUAUGCCCUCCUGGGGCCCUAAUUUGGUAAAUAAAAUAUUCUAUUCUAUUCUAUUCUGUCAUAUAUGUUUAGCUUAGAGGAAAGUGUAAUGACAUGAAAAAAUACUUUUAUACUUUUCUGUACUCUGUCUUAUGUAUUAAAAUAAAGAUUUGUCUGCAAAAUUUUUGAUUCCUUUUUUCCCGAAUAAAUUCUGUGUUAUCAGAAGCCAUAUUGGAGUCACAGAAACAGAUGCCCCAAUUAUAGCCUUAGCAUAGUAACAUAGUUCAUUAAAAAGUCAUGCAUAAUAUACAACCACAAAAACAUACACUGAAGUCUUCUGUCUCAUUUUCAAAUAGGAUGUACUUUGAGUAAAUUUGAAAAUGAUUUCUAUUUGAGUUUUUCUGACAAGUACUUUUUUGUGAGCAAUUCAUACAUGGUCUCUUGUGGAGAGUUGUCUCAUUGGCAGUCUUACCACAACUCCUUAUUUUUAUAUAUAAAAUGUUAAGUGAAAAAUUGCACACUGUCUCCUUUAUUCUCAUUGUAUGGAAAGUUACCGAGCAUAUUGGAAGUGGAUAUCAGUAAAUUUCACUGAUAACUUUGAUUGAAAUGUAUAUGCUUCAUUUUAGUCAAUGUUUACAAGCCUUCUUGUAGAUAAUUCAAAACUAUACAUUUGGAUAUAGCAAAUUUGGGGUAGAGUUAAUAAACAUAGUUUUAUUUUAUCUCGUUUCAUUCUUUGUAUAAACAUAAAGUUACACCACAUAACAUUCACAUGAAGUUUACACAAUUAAUUUUGUUAUUCACACUCAAGAUAAUCAUAGAUUUAGUUCUCAAAAGGAAUUCCAUUUUAAUAUAAACAUAAGUGGACGUGUCUAGGCGGCUAGUCCUUUGUGAGGUUCUGAUAGCCAUCUGCUGGUUUUAUCUCCAGUUCUCAAUCUGUCUUUGUCCAGGGUUUACAGUUAUCUUUGGUCACUCAGGUAGAAAUUGACAACAAGGCCUAACGGGUAUGAUUUACCUGUCAUGAUACCAUGUGACCAUUGUCCUGUCACCUGUCCCCCAUUUGUCUUUUGUUGACAGUAUGAAAACAGUUAGUUUGACUCAAGCUCAAGUCUUUAUUGAAAUAAUUGGUCUAAAGAUUAGGGCUUUGCUUCAGUGAGAAAUGUAUUGUUAUAACAUUUGACACAGAUUAUUAAAAAAAAAAAUAAGCGAAAUAUAAGUAUGAUUUGUUUUUAAUUCCAAGGCCUGGAAUUGUAUGUUAUCCUGUAAUAUAGAUUUGUUUAUUUUCCUUGUUUAAUAUUUAAAAAUAUACACUGUGGUUAAGAUUCUGAUAACUGGGGAAAAUAUUGCAAAUUACAAUGUAUAGUUUUGGCACUUCAACCUGAGACUCAGCUCCAACUUUAUAGACACUUUGUUAUAGAAACAAAGUUUAAUUGUAAGAGCCUACAUGAAUAAUAUUUGUCAGAUUUAUCUUUAAUGCAGAAUCACAAAAAUCUUAAAUCAAAAGUGCAUUAAAUAAAAUCGGGCAAACAAAAUAAAGAAUGAAUUGUAAGUUGGUGAUUAAGUAAGAGUGAUUAUGACAUACAUUAAUCAUAAUAGAUAAGGAAGACAUAUAGAUAACAGUAAUAUUGGUUAAUCUAAAGUACAAUUAUAUCCGAUUUAUUGUCUUAAUCAAUCAUAUAUUACAUCCUGGAUCAAGAUUUUCCCUGUUUUUUUUUAUUGCGUGAACCCCUCAGUUUUGUUUAAUGUAGAAAGAGAUUGGACCAAUUUCCCUUGAAACUUUGUUCCUAGAAUCAAAACAUACUACAGUUAUAAUAUAUAGAAGAUACCAAAUCCCACUAGAAUUUGAAAUAUCAGAGACUAUAUUCAUUACAACAGUCCAUAAAACAUAAAGUUAUUCAGCAUUAAAGACAAUUUUAUACAAAAUUGAAAAUUUAACAUGUAUAAGUAACCUUUUUGCAUUGAAGAAUGUCUAACAAAAAUCAGCUGAUUUGUAUUUUAAUGGAAGUAUAUUUCUGUACAUUCAACAUAACCUUGGAUUUGCAGUUAUUACAUUUUAUUGAUUUCCAAAAUCUGUCAAAAUUGCAGUUUUUAGUUUUCUUGAGGCAUUUAUUAUAAUCGAUCAUUUGUUAAGAAGUAGGUCAUACUACUGUUAGAACCUCUCAGUACCAGUACAUACAUGGGGUGUGGAACUCAGAAUUCAAAUAAAGGGGAAACACUUUUUGAAAAUGGCCUUUAUUAUGUUAGAUAAUAAUAAUAAUAAUAAUAAUAAUAAUAAAUUCUUUAUUUAAAGAGGGUAAGCACAGUUAGUAUGUUGAUAUAUGUAGGGGAAAUGACCAAAUAUCUUUGCUAAUGGUACACUGCCUAGAGUAACAGACCAAAUCUCUUAUUAGGUCUCUUCGUGUUUGUUGUUGUAAAUAGAAGAUUAAAGUUUAGCUUUAAUUUCCAGAAUAAUUGAAAAAAGCUCUUUUGAUCUGUAAUUGUAUGAAAUUUCUUCUUUUUAUCGUUAAUUAUUGGACUGUCAAUCCUUUAUUCAUACCAGCAUAAUGCCAUGCGUACGGUGAAAAUAUUCAAUGUCUCAUUUGGCAGAUGUUUGGACAAAGUCUGCGCUGACUUCCACAUUUAUUUAUUUUCCCACAAAGAAUAAUAUUUCAAAUUUGCACACACUUCUUGUGAAAAGACCCAGUAAUGGAGGGAAAGUAUGGAUAAUGAUUUUCAUUCAGAGUAAAUCAAUGCAGCCUGAUUUCAUAUUUUCUUUGUUGACAUUCUCAACACAUGUUACCACUGUCACAUGUCCGUAUCAAAAUAUGAAAGAUUGCUGACAGAUAAAAACAUGAAUAUCAUAUUUCAUAUGCUAAUGUUAUAAAUUAUGUACAGUUUUAAUACUGGGUUAUUGUGUUACCAUAGGGUAGCUUAUUUAUAAGGUCAAACGUGCAACUCAAUGAUUACAUAGAAAUUAAGUUCAUUGAAAAUUUUCAAUGAGCUAUCGGUUACAAGUUGUCUCUGAGAGGCUUCUUGAAAUGAGGUCCAGAAUUCAAUGUAAUUGGAUAUCAAAGUCACAGUUGUUGAAAGCUAAGUGGAAUUCUACAUUCCCCUGUAACCCCCUUUCCAUUUUCAAGCCAAACAAAUUUUGAAAGCAUCAAGAAACUUCAGACUACCAAACGAUAACAUUGACGUAUUUACGAUAGUAGAAAUAUUACUGUUGCCAUUGUUUAAUCUUAUUUUGCUUGUUAGAUAUUUGAAAGCAAAUCUUGCACUCCUCGGCCUCCACAACAAAAAUAUUAUCCUCAGCUAUAAAUUAUCUUAAGUUUCUGUUUACAAUACAUUUACACUAAAAAAUUGAAUUGUAAUGUCUAUUUCUUCUGAAGGGUGCAAUAUAUAAGGAGCAAAACACUUAUUUGUUUGAUUUAGAUAACAUAGAAAAUUUGUUAAUAAGUAUUUAUAUUCAUAGUAUUCUAAGUUCUUUAUUUGAUAUAUACAAUAUAUAUCUAGAUAGUAGUAACAUGUAGAUUAUAAAUAGACAACAUAGGAACCUGUUUUAUCUGUCAAAAUAGAAAAACCACACAAAUGUUAUUGCCAUUUAGACAUGAAAAUUUCAUCAAAAUGUCUUGUGGUAAAAAUGCAAUGCAUUAUUGUUCUUUAUGGUUUACAAAACUUGCAUGGUUUCUCUAAUGAAAAUGUCACAUGUUUAUGGCUGGCAGGUGUUUUUAUCUCUAUAGUUAUUAUUUUCUAUUGCAGGCAAAAGAGGGAAGAUGGAUAAAGACCAGUCAUUACUGUCCGAUUGAUCUGUAUUCUGGGUGAGUGGACAGCAGACUUUGGCCAAUGGCUAGGGCAAUAAAAUGUCAUUAUUG